rnacentral:rRNA from 1 species
UACGUAGGCAGCGAGCGUUGUUCGGAGUUACUGGGCGUAAAGGGCUCGUAGGUGGCCAACUAAGUCAGACGUGAAAUCCCUCGGCUUAACCGGGGAACUGCGUCUGAUACUGGAUGGCUUGAGGUUGGGAGAGGGAUGCGGAAUUCCUGGUGUAGCGGUGAAAUGCGUAGAUAUCAGGAGGAACACCGGUGGUGUAGACGGCUUUCUGGACCGUAACUGACGCUGAGACACGAAAGCGUGGGUAGCAAACAGG